AACAACAAAGAUAACAUUGUAAGCGUGUAUAUGAG
rnacentral:guide_RNA from 1 species